CCUGAGAAACCCAAAAGAUCGAAUGGGGAGAUUCAUCGUCAGCGAUUUUGGUACGUGUGCGGUCUCGCGAUGCCGAGACUUCGGUUUUCAGGCACGCGUCCGCAUGUUUUAUUGCCUCGAUCGUCGGCGUGCACUUCUCCCCUAGUAGGACGUCGCGACCCGUUGGGUGUCGGUCUACGGCCCGGGCGGUAGCCUGUCUCGUGUGCGCUUCGCGGCGUUACGCGGUUCAGACCCCCGGCUGCCCGACCGGCUGCCCGGCGGUACUCGCACGGUAUCUGGCCGCAAAUAUUCGAACUGCGUCCGGCCCGUCGCAAGCGCGACAAGUGUUUCCCGGUUGUACGGAUCCAAUGCCGUCACCGGGCCUUGUCAGCUGUUGGUUGACGGUGUCCUAGGACUGGCUAAUCCAAUUAUGAUACCGGUCGGCGACGCUACUGCUUUGGGUACUUUCAGGACCCGUCUUGAAACACGGACCAAGGAGUCUAACAUGUGCGCGAGUCAUUGGGAACUAUUAAGCCUAAAGGCGCAAUGAAAGUGAAGGUUGGCCUUGCGCCAACCGAGGGAGGAUGGGCCGCGUCACGAUGCGGUCCCGC
rnacentral:rRNA from 1 species